AGCUGCGCACCGAGGCGCACCUCCGCGCACCCUCAGGAGGCGGGUCCAGCUCGGUGGCGAGGGGAGCGCGGCCCCCGAGUGGGCGAGGCGCUGGCGGCUGUAGGCUCCGAUACCGCGGAGCACACUCCCCUCCAUCGAGACCGUGCCCCCGCGGGGUCUGUGUCCCCGGGAGGAGUUGGCUGCGUUUGGAGAUCCCUCGGCCUGAGAGCACCAGAUUCUCAAAACAAUGCAGACUUUGGAGCCACAUGUGGGUUUGAAUCUCAACUCUACCUGAGUGACCCUGGGCAAGUCACUUCACUUCCCUGAGACUCAAGUUUCAUCAAGAUGGGAACAAUGAGCAUCUGCCUCACAGGCUUGUCGUGAGGAUUAAGUGAGAAGGUGCAGCUGCAAAGACAUCAAGCUGGACCCAUCGAGGAUUUCGGAUUCAGCCAUCAUGGGGCUGCUGCCGGGGAAGCCACUGCCCCUCCUUUCUCCUCAGCACUGGGGUUAUAAAAAAAUACCUACAAACCAUGAGAAAGUUUGUGUAAAAACACUUUUCUGCACAUAUAAAAAGAGAGACUGGCCGUGGUCAGUGGCUCAGGACGUGGACCAAAGUCCCAAGAGUGGCCAAGGGGAGUCCGUGGUGCCCCAGAGGUAGAAGAGCUAGCCUGGGGCACCCCUGGUUGCCGGGAC
rnacentral:lncRNA from 10 species